ACUCCUACGGGAGGCAGCAGUGGGGAAUCUUGGACAAUGGGCGGCAAGCCUGAUCCAGCCAUGCCGCGUGAGUGAUGAAGGCCCCUAGGGUCGUAAAGCUCUUUCGCCUGUGAUGAUAAUGACAGUAGCAGGUAAAGAAACCCCGGCUAACUCCGUGCCAGCAGCCGCGGUAAUACGGAGGGGGUUUAGCGUUGUUUCGGAAUUUACUGGGCGUAAAGCGCACGUAGGCGGAUUAGUCAGUCAGAGGUGAAAUCCCAGGGCUCAACCCUGGAACUGCCUUUUGAUACUGCUAGUCUUGAGUUCGAGAGAGGUGAGUGGAAUUCCGAGUGUAGAGGUGAAAUUCGUAGAUAUUCGGAGGAACACCAGUGGCGAAGGCGGCUCACUGGCUCGAUACUGACGCUGAGGUGCGAAAGUGUGGGGAGCAAACAGGAUUAGAUACCCUGGUAGCGACUGA
rnacentral:rRNA from 1 species